rnacentral:RNase_P_RNA from 1 species
GGGGCAGGAGAUCGCUGCUGGUUUUGCCAGCAGAGGAAAGUCCGAACUCCACAGGGCACGAUGCCGCGUAACGGAUCUUCAGGGUUCGAUACACGCGGGCAGGGCGUUUGUGAAGACGCCUUGACGGCCAGUGCAGCAGAAAACAAACCGCCCUUCUUUGGAGGGUAAGGGUGAAAAGGUGGGGUAAGAGCCCACCGCUCGCGGAGUGAUCCAAGAGGCACGGUAAACCCCAUCGGGUGCAAGACCAAAUAGGGAACCUCAGGGCUGCUCGUCCAUUGCCAGCACUUGUGCGGGCUGGGUUCCGGGUUAGGUCGCUCAGAUAAAUGAUCUCCUCGUCCGCCUUGCGGACCAGACAGAAUUCGGCUUAUCGCCCCUUU